rnacentral:rRNA from 1 species
AGCGACAGGCCUAACACAUGCAAGUCGAGGGGCAGCACAAGGAGCAAUCUGAGGUGGCGACCGGCGCACGGGUGAGUAACACGUAUGCAACCUGCCUGUAAGCGGGGAAUAACCCGUUGAAAGACGGACUAAUACCGCAUAAUACUAAAUUACUGCAUGGUAAUUUAUUUAAACAUUUAUGGCUUACAGAUGGGCAUGCGCAUGAUUAGCUAGUUGGAGAGGUAACGGCUCCCCAAGGCAACGAUCAUUAGGGGUUCUGAGAGGAAGGUCCCCCACACUGGUACUGAGACACGGACCAGACUCCUACGGGAGGCAGCAGUGAGGAAUAUUGGUCAAUGGACGAGAGUCUGAACCAGCCAAGUCGCGUGCAGGAAGAAUGUCCCUAUGGAUUGUAAACUGCUUUUGCAGGGGAAUAAAGUGCAUCACGUGUGAUGUUUUGUAUGUACUCUGCGAAUAAGGAUCGGCUAACUCCGUGCCAGCAGCGGC